rnacentral:sRNA from 1 species
AGCUAGGUUUGUAUUGAUGUAUAUUGGA